UUCAUAGAGGGCAUCACAACCUCCCUGGUGACCAGGCUUCAUAGAGGGCAUCACAACCCUCCCCGGUGACCAGGCUUCAUAGAGGGCAUCACAACCCUCCCUGGUGACCAGGCUUCAUAGAGGGCAUCACAACCCUCCCCGGUGACCAGGCUUCAUAGAGGGCAUCACAACCCUCCCUGGUGACCAGGCUUCAUAGAGGGCAUCACAACCCUCCUCCAUGCCCAUAAGGGAAUGUUGCUGUCUGUCAAGUCGACGAUCAAUAGAAACACAAGGGUUAUUAAUAUAUCAUCAGAAAGACUGCGAUCAUUGAUCCUUCCACAGAAAGAUUUCCCUACUGAGGGAUUGAGGCCAACGUUAAUGUCCAGGAGGAUAUUGAUUGGAUACAAAGGUCUAUGAUAGAUGUAGGUUGUGUGCCAUUUAGGAUGCUAUUUAGGAUGACAUUUAGAAUGCUAUUCAGGAUGCUAUUUAGGGUGCUAUUUAGGAUGCCAUUUAGGGUGCUAUUUAGGGUGCUAUUUAGGAUGCUAUUUAGGAUGAAUUACAUAUAAAAGCUACAAAAUGUCAUUCUCCAUAUGAAAUGCGGAUGGUAUUUGCUAUGGAAAUUAUCUACUGCCAUACACUGUAUGAAGUAUGCAUUCAGCAUUCUCAUACGGGAGGUUCAUCCAGGGAAUCUGUCACAACAUUCUCAUACGGGAGGUUCAUCCAGGGAAUCUGUCACAACAUUCUCUUACAGGAGGUUCAUCCAGGGAAUCUGUCACAACAUUCUCUUACGGAAGGUUCUUCCAGGGAAUCUGUCACAACAUUCUCUUACGGAAGGUUCAUCCAGGGAAUCUGUCACAACAUUCUCUUACGGGAGGUUCUUCCAGGGAAUCUGUCACAACAUUCUCUUACGGGAGGUUCUUCCAGGGAAUCUGUCACAACAUUCUCUUAUGGAAGGUUCUUCCAGGGAAUCUGUCACAACAUUCUCUUACGGAAGGUUCUUCCAGGGAAUCUGUCACAACAUUCUCUUACGGAAGGUUCUUCCAGGGAAUCUGUCACAACAUUCUCUUACGGAAGGUUCUUCCAGGGAAUCUGUCACAACAUUCUCUUACAGAAGGUUCUUCCAGGGAAUCUGUCACAACAUUCUCUUACGGAAGGUUCUUCCAGGGAAUCUGUCACAACAUUCUCUUACGGAAGGUUCUUCCAGGGAAUCUGUCACAACAUUCUCUUACGGAAGGUUCUUCCAGGGAAUCUGUCACAACAUUCUCUUA